rnacentral:rRNA from 1 species
AACGAACGCUGGCGGCAUGCCUAACACAUGCAAGUCGAACGAGACCUUCGGGUCUAGUGGCGCACGGGUGCGUAACGCGUGGGAACCUGCCCUUAGGUUCGGAAUAACUCCCCGAAAGGGGUGCUAAUACCGGAUAAUGUCUUCGGACCAAAGAUUUAUCGCCUUUGGAUGGGCCCGCGUUGGAUUAGCUAGUUGGUAGGGUAAAAGCCUACCAAGGCGACGAUCCAUAGCUGGUCUGAGAGGAUGAUCAGCCACACUGGGACUGAGACACGGCCCAGACUCCUUCGGGAGGCAGCAGGUGGGAAUAUUGGACAAUGGGCCAAAGGCUGGUCCAGCCAUGCCGCGUGGAUGAUGGAGGGCUUAGGGUUGUAAAGCUCUUUUACCCGGGAUGAUAAUGACAGUACCGGGAGAAUAAGCUCCGGCUAACUCCGUG